ACAAGCUUGGUAGGGCUUUUGGGAGUCUGUCCCAAUACAAGAAUGGUAUCGAUGAUGCAAGCCAGACAGCACUUGCAACUUUAAAAAACGCUCAGAGCCCUGCAUGUGCAACAACAUAAAUGCUUUUUCAGAUCAAGCUCUUGGUCUUAGCUGUUGUGUUUCAGCAAUAUCUGGAACAGGGUAAGUCGGUUUUCGUGGCUAACAUCUCUAAGAAGAGACAGAAGGAUAUAAUUGACGCACACAAUGCUGUGAGGGCAGGGGUAAACCCAACUGCCAGGAACAUGAUGAAAAUGGUAAGAUACAAUUCUCCCAUGUUGUUAGAUAUUGUUGAAAAGUUUCACUGUGGCUUUUAAAAACACAGCUUGUCCCCUCCAUAUGUACAAAAUAAGAAGGGAGUCUACCUGAGGGAUCUAACCAAAAUGUAAUGUUCAUGAGGGGACCAUAUGACGGAAUGAAAAAUCAAAAUGUGUAGCCCACGUUUGGUCAGCCCACACGCUGCCUUGCCAAAGAAGGAAAAUAUGUGCCACUUAGGUCAACAAUAAAGAACAAGUAAUUUAUUCUUCUUAAAUCCAGAACAACAUAUGUACAAUGUGAUCUGUUGCACCAACUCAGAUAAUGUCAUUUCAUGAGAGAUUCAAAAUAGUGUUUCCUUUGUCCACGUGGAUAAAUUCCUUCAGCAGUUCAUGAAGCGAGAGCACACUUCAAAAUCUGUGUCUUUCUCUGCUUCUCUCUUCAAAACUCUCUUUUUGCGCCUGCAUAGCUCAAGCCUAAAUAAAAAUGCAACAGUAUCAAAAAGUCUCAGACUUAGCCAGCUCUCCAGACAUGACUCAACCAAUGAGCUUCAUGCAUCUUAUUUUGCAGUUGACGCACACACAUUAACUGAUUUCUUACAUGUCGUAAUAGACCAGUGUGUUUAAAAGGUUUUGGUUGGAAGGUUCUAAAGUUCUGCAGCUAAGGCAGUGGUUCUCAACCUGUGGGUCCCCAGGUGUUUUGGCCAACAACUCCCAGAAAUCCCAGCUAGUUUACCAGCUGUUAGAAUUUCUGGAAUUGAGGGCCAAAACAUCUGGGGACCCACAGGUUGAGAGCCACUGAGCUAAGGUCUGCAUUUUAUCAGCCAUCACCUUCCUCCCUGCAGUCCCUGUUGAUUGCCCACGGAAUUGUUCACCGCCAAUUAUUUUAUUUUAUUAUUUAUUUAUUUAUUUAUACCCCACCUUUCUCCGUGAAGGGACUCAAAGCAGCUAACAACCACACACUUCGGUCAAUUUAAAACAAAGCAAACACAAAUUUUUAAAAAGCAAUUCCACAGUUUAUUACAUACUUUAUUUAUACCCCACCUUUCUCCGUGAAGGGACUCAAGGCAGCUAACAACCACACACUUCGGUCAAUUUAAAACAAAGCAAAUACAAUUUUUUAAAAGCAAUUACACAGUUUAAAAGACAGAUAAAAUACAAUAAAUACAAUGAAAAUGCAUUUAUAUCUCCCAAUCCCCCUGCACCAGAAUCCAUCCCACAACCGCCCCAGCAGUGUGCUCCUUAUCUGUCCUCGAAUGUCUGCUGAAAGAGAAAGGUGUUGACCUGCUUGCGGAAGGCCAGCAGAGAUGGGGCCAUCCUGGUCUCUCUUGGGAGGGAGUUCCACAGCCUGGGAGCAGCCACCGAAAAGGCCCUGCCACCAAGCGCACUUGAGAGAGUGGAGGGACAGAGAGAAGAAGGUCCUCCCCUGUUGACUCUACUAGGUUCAUAGAAAGAGAUACAGUCCUUCGGAUAUUCUGGACCGGAGCUCUAAAUGGCUCUGUAGACCAAAACCAACACUUUGAAUUGGGCCCAGAAACAUGUUGAUAAUCUAUGGAGCAGUUCUACGCUCCCUGUAGCCAGUCCCAGUUAUCAGUCUUUCCUCAUUAUUUCCCCAUCGUCCUCUUUUUCCAAUCUACUCAGUGAUGUUUUCACCUUUAUCUAUUAAUUAUUGGAAUACUGUUUAGUCCACCAGUUAUUUUCUAGCUGUUAUGCCAGUAAUGUUCAAACCUGAGAAAUGAGCAGGAGGGGCCCCAAAUAUGUGGGCUGCCUUUGGAGAGAGUGCAUUAAUGUUUCUCAGCCCAGCUUGUUACAAUAUGGAAGAAAUCAGUUAAUGUGUGUGUGUGUGUCAACUGCAAAAUAAGAUGCAUGAAGCUGAUUGGUUGAGCCAUGUCUGGAGAGCUGUUCAGUCUGGGAGUUUUUGAUACUGUUGCAAUUUGUUCAGUUGGAAGAGUGAAGGAGAGAGGGGGGAGGGAGGAGGAGGGGAGAGAGAGAGAGAGAGAGAGAGAGAGAGAGAGAGAAAGUGUGCUUUAGCUUCAUGAACAAGGAAUUUAUUCACCUGGGCAAAGGAAAGACUAUUUUAGAUCUCUCAUAAAAGGACAUUAUGUGAGUUGGUGCAACUGAGUCCAUUGUACAUAUGUUGUUCUGGGUUUAAGAAGAAUAAACCACUUGUUCUUUAUUGUUCACCUGCGUAGCACAUAUCUUUCUCUGGCAAGUCAGUUUCAAACUGUUUUUGAAGAAAGUGGUUUUGCUAUGCAGAACCAAAUGCUGGAACCAGUUUGAGGCCCAGGUAGUGAUUACACAAACCUUAAGACUACUGAUUCGCACCCUUUCAUGGGAGUUUGUUGUCUAGCCAUUGCAGUUUGCAUCCAGCUUUGAAUGGCAUUAAAUGUUCAGUAUAGAUGGGGCCCUCAUCUUCUUCCAAAAUAGGGAGAGGAUUCUUGGCUGCCUUGCAGAUUGCUUUAAAAAAUGGCCCUAAAAGGCUGGAAAUUUCAAUUACUUUUAAUGUAAUGAUGAUGGUUUCUACAUUUUCUGUAACAUUUUAACUCUUAAGCAUUUGAAAUGAAUUUCCCCCAAAUAGUAGCAGUAGUAGUAGUAGUAAUAGUAAUAAUUUUAUUUCUUACCCGCCUCUCCUCAUGGCUUGAGGUGGGUUACAGCAUAAUUAAAACACAUAAAUAUUGUAAAAAUUCUACCAAUGCACAUAUUAAAAUGUAUUUUAAUAAAAUACAUAUUAAAAUACACAGAACAGAGAUUAAACACAAGACACGAGUUUAAAAUUCAUGCUUAUAACUGGCUGGGUAUGCUUGCAAGAAGAGAUAGGUUUUUAGUUGGUUUUUAAAUUUCGACACCUUAUUUAGCUAUUGGAGCUCUUCAGGUAGGUUGUUCCAUAGUCUUGGGGUGGCCAAUGAAAAGGUCUUCUGGGUGACGGUCACC
rnacentral:lncRNA from 1 species